rnacentral:tRNA from 1 species
UAAAAGGUCGGGAUAGC